AAAAUAAAUUAGUUUUCUGAAUCAGUUCAAAUAUUUGUGGUCAUUUGAACAACCAUCUAUUUCAAAUCGUUAUUCGCUUGCCCGAAUCGGCGGACUUCAGACCUCUAUCUGACAAGAGUACCGUCGUGUUGUGGCACUUUAUUUUAUUUUGGCUCAGAAGGGUUCUGCCUCCUCUAACUCUCCCUGGGUACGGGUUUCCCUUCACUAGGAUCCCUCGACUGUGGAAUCCUUUCGAUCUCUCUCUCCACUCUUUCAAUGAGGCACUCUCCUCCUUUCCUUCCCUCUCUAGCUGGCUUGACCCUUGACUCCGCUACCGGAGAAGAGUCCUUGUGUCCCUUGCGCGGGGGAUGCCUCUUCCAUUAGUGCUCCUUCCUCCGAUGCCUCCGCUCGGUCAACCGUCUCUGGAAUUGCUUUGGUCAUGAAACAAUUGUUUUUCAACAUACAUGCUCAUUUAAGAUAAAAUAAUACUAAUUUAUUAAUAUUUCAAGAAUUAGUAUGAGAUUUAAAAAAUAAAGUUGUUUACCAAACCAAUUUAAA
rnacentral:lncRNA from 1 species